AGAUGGCGACCGGCGCACGGGUGAGUAACACGUAUCCAACCUGCCGAUAACUCGGGGAUAGCCUUUCGAAAGAAAGAUUAAUACCCGAUGGUAUAAUCAGACCGCAUGGUCUCGUUAUUAAAGAAUUUCGGUUAUCGAUGGGGAUGCGUUCCAUUAGGCAGUUGGUGAGGUAACGGCUCACCAAACCUUCGAUGGAUAGGGGUUCUGAGAGGAAGGUCCCCCACAUUGGAACUGAGACACGGUCCAA
rnacentral:rRNA from 1 species